GGGGGCGACUAGGUUCGACGGCGAUAGUCGGGUUUGAGCAGCGAGCAUGGGCGCCGCACCCAUCAAAAAGCGGCAAAGCAAUAAGUGCCAACACUGAGUACGCACUGGCUGCUUAAGGAAUAGCAGUCACGGCGCCGGGAGAUGUGCCCUCCGGCUCCCGGAACGCCGUCACCAGGAGGGAUACCCAUACGGGGACGUCCGGGACCGGAUGGGGAAAGCAAUUCCGGACUGGCAAUUCCAGGAGCCCGCUCCGGGGCGCCCGGAGUUGCGAGACGAAAACCGGAGAUACGCUCGUAGAGACUGAAACUGGAUUAUCGUCGGACGAGGGUGCAACUCCCUCCGCCUCCACCA
rnacentral:tmRNA from 1 species